UUUCCUAGUGUCUGAUUUCCUGCCACGGAAUCCGUGCCCCAGGUCCACAGCAGCCUUUCUUUCCCGCUCUCCGUGGAUCGCCCAUUACUAUCCGUGUCAAAGUGGCUCGUGGCCUGCAGGCUGGCCCGUACCCCCACACGAAAGGGCACCCCAAUAAGCGGGAGGGAGGGCGCGUAUGAGAUCCCUGGAUGCGAACCUGAGCGGCCGGCCGGCCCUUCCCGGACCCUCGCGCCGGCCCUGCUAGCCCAGCGCCGGGCCGCCGGCCGGCCCGGCCCCACACCUGCCGGGCCCGGGAAGGGCCAGCCCUGGGCAGAGGUGUUGCCCGACGCGGCGGCUCAGCGCCCCGCUCAUUGGCCGAGGAUCAGGCCCUCCCCCUCCUCGGCGGCGUCCUGACCAAACCCGGAGGGGAUCCUCCCGAGGCCCUUCACCCCGAGGAGCCAGUCCUGCAGCUGCCCUGACUCCUGGGGCUGGCGGCUGAGGCCCAGAGCCUGGGCAGGAGGCCAGGGGCAGAAAGGGAGGCCGCAGCCGGGGCCGGUGGCCUGAGGAGUGCGGGCCGGAGGCCUUCCCUAGGAGGACUCCGCUGACAGGAAUGGGAGCCAUGAAAGAGAAGAAAAUGGUCAAGAAAGGAAGCUUGCAUGACAGGGGAAAAGAGGCACAGAGCAGUUCAAGAACCUUACCGAAGCUACACAGCCCUAAAUGGCAGACCUGGAAGGGAGGCCCAGCAGUCUGGCGGUCAUUAGAGAACAUUCGCUCUGUUGGAUCACUCCAUCUGGGGGAAAUCAGCCACAUGCUCUGAGGAUACUCAAGCAACCCUGUGGAGAAGUACACGUGCUAAGGAACUGAGGCUGCCCACCAACUUGCCGACCAUGUGGGUCGGCCAUCUUGGAAGUGGAUCCUCCAGCUCCAGUCAAGUCUUAAGAUAUAAGCUGCACUGCAGCCCCAGCCGACAUCUUUACUGCAACCUCCUUAGAGGCACUGAGCUGGAACCACUCUGCUUAGCUGCUCCUGAAUUCCUGACCCACAGAAAACUAUAUGAGAUAAUCAAUGUUUACUAUUGUUUUAAGCUGCUAAGUUUUGGGAAAACCUGUUGUGUAGCCAUAAAGAAUACACAGACCAUGGGGUUAUUCAUAGUAACUGUUCAGUAAAUGCCAGCCAGUGUUAUUCCCUUGACUGUGAAAAUCUUAGCCACGGUGUUUUUCAAGUGUCUGUCAUGUGCCAAGUAUGUGCCAUAUGCUGGGCAUAUGGACUCCUAUCUCUGUGCCAUCAAUUUUCAGCAAGGCCUAGAGUGUUGGGGGCAGACAGUCACCCCAAAUCCUAGACUCUUGGGGUUGAAAGACCCAGAGCUAUCGUUACUCAACCCAACUUUCAUUUUCAAGAUGAGCAAACUGAGACACAGAGGUCGUAUAACCCACCGUAGGUAUUGGAGCUGAUAGAGAAGAGCCUGAACCAGAACCCAGAUCCACUGGUGCUUGGGCAGCCCCUUUGUUGUUGCUCUGCCUUCUAAUAAGGGGCCAUUGCAUCUUACAGUUUAUAAAGCCCUUUCAGUAUUUUAUUUUGGGAUCAUCAAUGCAGAGCCCCCUCCAGACCCUAUUGGUAUCCAUAUCCCUAGGGCAGUCUAUUUCUCUAAAGGCCACCCACUCCCCAGAGCCCUUACAGCUGCCCACAAUGGCUGUCUGGACCUGGAAACAACAGGAAGCGGCCUGUGGGGCUCCCGGCCCUGAGUGGUGAGAUCCUGAAAACACUCUGCUCUUCUUCCAUGGCAUGUGGGCUUUACCCUGGCACCUGGUUCGUUGCAUCACAACCCCAGAUCCCACUGAUCUGCCUCUGCCAACUGUUUGGUCUUUAGCUUCUGGAUAAAGGACCUAUCGGUUUGAUCCUGUGAUUUGGGAUGACUCUUUGUUGAGGAUGACACUGAAGCAUGUGACAGAGAGCUCAAGCUGUAAGAAAAAGUCUUCGUCCCCCACCCCCACCCCCACCCCCACCCCCGACUUCUGAGGGUGUUCAGGCACCACAGAGGCUCCAGGGGAAAUCCAGAGGAAGAGGCAGGGCAGAUCCACCCUCUGGGACAGUCACAGGGGCCAGGGCAAGAACAGUACAUGCAUGGAAGGGAUCCAUGGUGUACCAAGGAAACAUUUAAGCAAGCCCAAGCUAUGCAGAAAUGAAAGGGGAAACGGAGGAUUGCUUCCUCUCCAGCAUCGCCACCCCCAGGCCUGUGUCAACCAGUCACCCACCCCUGGAAGUCUUCCUCUGAGAACCAGGCCACUGAGGACAUGGGGACCCUCGGGGAUCAUUUCUUAAUGGUUGAUCCAUUUGGCAAACAAGAAACUGAAGGUGGGUGUGGCUGGCUGGGCAUCACAUUGCUGGUCUCUGGCAGUUUUCUCCUCCAACCAAGAGGUCUCAAAAUCUCAGGUUUCCAGAAAGUUCCCUCUCUAGUGACAGUCAAAAACAGCACAGACUUUGGGGUUAAAUCGUCCUUUCAGCUCUGUGUACACUAACUGUGGGACUUAGGGAAACUCCAUAAUCAAUCUGUGCCUCAGUUUCCUCAUCUGUAAAAUGGGGAUAAGUAUGACCUACUCAUGGUUGUUGUGAGGACUGAAUGAAAUAGUACCAUGAAGCUUUUAGUAGAUGCCCAGACUCUUGCAAGCAGUAUAUCAAUCAAAAAUAGUGUAAUAAUUGGGAAUGCAAGCUGGUGCAGCCACUCUGGAAAACAGUAUGGAGGUUCCUCAAAAAACUGAAAAGAGAACUACCCUAUGACCCAGCAAUUGCACUAAUAGGCAUUUAUC